rnacentral:rRNA from 1 species
UAUGAAUAAUACCUAGUGGCGAACGGGUGAGUAACGCGUGAGCAACCUGACCUUUUGAGGGGGAUAACAACCGGAAACGGUUGCUAAUACCGCAUAAGACCACACUGUCACAUGGCAGAGGGGUCAAAGGAGCAAUCCGCAGAAGGAGGGGCUCGCGUCCCAUUAGAUAGUUGGUGGGGUAAUGGCCUACCAAGGCGACGAUGGUUAGCUGGUCUGAGAGGAUGAUCAGCCACACUGGAACUGAGACACGGUCCAGACUCCUACGGGAGGCAGCAGUGGGGAAUUUUGCGCAAUGGGGGAAACCCUGACGCAGCAACGCCGCGUGGGUGAUGAAGGCCUUCGGGUCGUAAAGCUCUGUCUGGAGGGAAGAAAUGAUUGGGAGCUAAUACCUCUUGAUCUUGA